rnacentral:tRNA from 1 species
GGGGGUGGGGCUCAGAGGGUAGAGUGCUUGCCUGGUAUGCAGAAAGCCCUGGCUUCAAUCCCCAGCACUCUAU